AGCGAACGUUUGCGGCGGGCCUAACACAUGCAAGUCGAACGGGUUGGCAACAACCAGUGGCGCACGGGUGCGUAACACGUAGGUAAUCAACCCUGCUUGGGAUUGAACACUCCCGAAAGGAACGCUAAUACCGGAUCCGUCGUCGGGAGCUUCGGCUCUGGCGAGAAAGACCCGCAAGGGUUGCCGAGGGACGAGCCUGCGGCCCAUCAGCUAGUUGGUGAGGUAAAAGCUCACAAAGGCGAAGACGGGUAGCUGGUCUGAGAGGAUGAUCAGUCACACUGGAACUGAGACACGGUCCAGACUCCUACGGGAGGCAGCAGUGGGGAAUAUUGCGCAAUGGGCGAAAGCCUGACGCAGCCACGCCGCGUGAGCGAUGAAGGCCUCGGUCGUAAAGCUCUGUGGGGAGAGAAGAAGAAAGCCUGUGAAGAGCAGGCCUUGACGGUAUCUCCUUAGCAAGCA
rnacentral:rRNA from 1 species